rnacentral:rRNA from 1 species
GGGUUCCUACAUGCAUAAGACCGGCGGCGGAUGGUCGACUGCUUCCGUACGGAACGAAAAGACUCCUUCUAAUACAGGGGGUGCAUGACGGUACCGUAAGAAUAAGCACCGGCUAACUACGUGCCAGCAGCCGCGGUAAUACGUAGGGUGCAAGCGUUAAUCGGAAUUACUGGGCGUAAAGCGUGCGCAGGCGGUUAUAUAAGACAGAUGUGAAAUCCCCGGGCUCAACCUGGGAACUGCAUUUGUGACUGUAUAGCUAGAGUACGGCAGAGGGGGAUGGAAUUCCGCGUGUAGCAGUGAAAUGCGUAGAUAUGCGGAGGAACACCGAUGGCGAAGGCAAUCCCCUGGGCCUGUACUGACGCUCAUGCACGAAAGCGUGGGGAGCAAACAGGAUUAGAUACCCUGGUAGUCCACGCCCUAAACGAUGUCAACUGGUUGUUGGGAAUUCACUGUCUCAGUAACGAAGCUAACGCGUGAAGUUGACCGCCUGGGGAGUACGGCCGCAAGGUUGAAACUCAAA